rnacentral:rRNA from 1 species
CGCCUUAUACUCCUACGGGAGGCAGCAGUGGGGAAUAUUGGACAAUGGGCGAAAGCCUGAUCCAGCAAUGCCGCGUGAGUGAUGAAGGCCUUAGGGUUGUAAAGCUCUUUUACCAGGGAUGAUAAUGACAGUACCUGGAGAAUAAGCUCCGGCUAACUCCGUGCCAGCAGCCGCGGUAAUACGGAGGGAGCUAGCGUUGUUCGGAAUUACUGGGCGUAAAGCGCACGUAGGCGGCUACUCAAGUCAGAGGUGAAAGCCCGGGGCUCAACCCCGGAACUGCCUUUGAAACUAGGUAGCUAGAAUCUUGGAGAGGUCAGUGGAAUUCCGAGUGUAGAGGUGAAAUUCGUAGAUAUUCGGAAGAACACCAGUGGCGAAGGCGACUGACUGGACAAGUAUUGACGCUGAGGUGCGAAAGCGUGGGGAGCAAACAGGAUUAGAAACCCUUGUAGUCCACGUACCA